rnacentral:rRNA from 1 species
GCAUAUCAAUAAGCGGAGGAAAAGAAACCAACAGGGAUUGCCCUAGUAACGGCGAGUGAAGCGGCAACAGCUCAAAUUUGAAAUCUGGCUUCGGCCCGAGUUGUAAUUUGUAGAGGAAGCUUUUGGCAAGGCACCGACUGAGUCCCCUGGAACGGGGCGCCAUAGAGGGUGAGAGCCCCGUAUAGUCGGACGCUGAGCCUCUGUAAAGCUCCUUCGACGAGUCGAGUAGUUUGGGAAUGCUGCUCAAAAUGGGAGGUAAAUUUCUUCUAAAGCUAAAUAUUGGCCAGAGACCGAUAGCGCACAAGUAGAGUGAUCGAAAGAUGAAAAGCACUUUGAAAAGAGGGUUAAAUAGCACGUGAAAUUGUUGAAAGGGAAGCGCUUGUGACCAGACUUGCGCCUGGCCGAUCAUCCGGGGUUCUCCCCGGUGCACUCGGCCAGGCUCAGGCCAGCAUCGGUUCUCUCGGGGGGACAAAGGCCCCGGGAAUGUAGCUCCCUCCGGGGAGUGUUAUAGCCCGGGGCGUAAUGCCCUCGAGGGGACCGAGGACCGCGCUUCGGCAAGGAUGCUGGCGUUACGGUCACCAGCGACCCGUCUUGAAACACGGACCAAGGAGUCAAGGUUUUGCGCGAGUGUUUGGGUGUAAAACCCGCACGCGUAAUGAAAGUAAACGUAGGUGAGAGCUUCGGCGCAUCAUCGACCGGCCCAGAUGUUCUCGGAAGGGCCUGAGUAGGAGCGUUAAGCCUUGGACCCGAAAGAUGGUGAACUAUGCUUGGAUAGGGUGAAGCCAGAGGAAACUCUGGUGGAGGCUCGCAGCGGUUCUGACGUGCAAAUCGAUCGUCAAAUCUGAGCAUGGGGGGCGAAAGACUAAUCGAACCAUCUAGUAGCUGGUUAC